CCCUAGCCCUGAUAGUAGCGGUAUCCUUUUCAUAAGGUGAUUUUUCUUCAACUUAUGAAAAGAUACAAGCAGAUAGCAGGAAAGAGC
rnacentral:sRNA from 1 species